rnacentral:rRNA from 1 species
UACGUAGGGUGCAAGCGUUGUCCGGAAUUAUUGGGCGUAAAGAGCUCGUAGGUGGCCUGUCGCGUCGGCUGUGAAAACUCGGGGCUCAACUCCGAGCUUGCAGUCGAUACGGGCAGACUGGAGUUCGGCAGGGGAGACUGGAAUUCCUGGUGUAGCGGUGAAAUGCGCAGAUAUCAGGAGGAACACCGGUGGCGAAGGCGGGUCUCUGGGCCGAUACUGACGCUGAGGAGCGAAAGCGUGGGGAGCGAACAGG